UAAGCAGUGAUUGUGUGUAUCUGUGUUGUGCUAUGUUCAAUACACCCUUUUGCCAAAAGAGUUCCCUGCAACGUUGAUUUGGAGAAGGUGGGCAGUUGGGUUUCAGGCUAUUCAUUGUGUUAUCCAACAAUCAUCUUCCCCAAAUUA